rnacentral:rRNA from 1 species
AUUGAACGCUGGCGGCAUGCCUUACACAUGCAAGUCGAACGGUAACGCGGGGCAACCUGGCGACGAGUGGCGAACGGGUGAGUAAUGCAUCGGAACGUGCCCAGUAGUGGGGGAUAGCCCGGCGAAAGCCGGAUUAAUACCGCAUACGACCUACGGGUGAAAGCGGGGGAUCGCAAGACCUCGCGCUACUGGAGCGGCCGAUGUCAGAUUAGGUAGUUGGCGGGGUAAAGGCCCACCAAGCCUACGAUCUGUAGCUGGUCUGAGAGGACGACCAGCCACACUGGGACUGAGACACGGCCCAGACUCCUACGGGAGGCAGCAGUGGGGAAUUUUGGACAAUGGGGGCAACCCUGAUCCAGCCAUGCCGCGUGCGGGAAGAAGGCCUUCGGGUUGUAAACCGCUUUUGUCGGGGAAGAAAUCUUCCGGGCUAAUACCCUGGGGGGAUGACGGUACCGGAAGAAUAAGCACCGGCUAACUACGUGCCAGCCGCCGCCGUAACAC